AUUCCAGGGCUAUGCAGACCAAAAUAGCACCUCCUAAGUAAUCUGGACCAAGCCAGGGAGACCAGCACUUGCCCUUGGGUCACAGCCAGUGCAAAAGCUGAUGGCAAGAGAGAGCUUGACACAUAGCAGGCCUCCUCUACACCUAGCUCCAUGGAGUUACAAAGCUCUGCCUCAGCUCACAGCACCAGCUGAGGGAGGUGGAAAAUGCGUCAAAACACAAGUAUCCAGAAGAUCCCUCACACUUGCGUGAGAGUUCAAGGUCUGCCACACUUCAGGAGCCAUGACAGCUGUCUAUCUGAAACUUUCACCAGUAGGAGAAACCUCAUCAGAGACACAGGCUACAGCUAUGACAAAGCACUGAUGAGCCCAGCUAGAGGAACCCCGUAUGCGCGGCACUGAUGCACUUCUUUGGCCUGAGAGGCAAAAUGAGAAUCCCUGAGUCCGAAGACUGGUGAUGGUCUAAACUGUAGAGUGCAUCAGAUUCAUUUGGAGGGCUGGCUGGAACAUCAAAUUGCUGGGUCUCACCUCAGAGUGUCAUCAGAUGGAAACAGAUUCAGAGACUUAUAGCCAGUCAUCAGGCAGAGUUCGAAUCUUAUGGAAGAGUCAAAGAUACCACAAGAAGAUCUACAGAGUAAGCUAUGGACCCAUGGGAGUUCACAGAGACUGAACCACCAACUAAAGAGCAUGCGGGGGCUGGACCUAGGCCCCCUACACAUUUGUAGUGGAUGUGCAGCUUGGUUUUCAUGUGGGUUCCCUAACAACUGGAGUGGUCUCUGACUCCGGUGGAGACUAACAAAGCUGAGAAAGAUAUGCUGGGUGUCCCAAUUUUAAUGUAGAAAUUAAGCUUUAGUGAGCCAUCAUUCUGGUUCUAAUGCUAAUGAGUCCUAGAGGAAGUUUAAACACCCAUCAGACAUCUCCUCACUGUGCCAGAGAAGGUCCCUUGGCCCCCAGUCUACUUCUACACUUCCAGCCACAGGCUUUUUUUUUUUCACCAGAGUGAAUGCAACUCAGAUUUUGAUUAAUAUGUAAAUAAGCCCCUGCUGUUUCCAAAGACCUUGUACGUUUCCUCCCGCCCCCGUUAUACCACAAGUCUCAAGCUCGGCAGAUCUUUAAUAACUAUAAUUAAAUUGUUGAGCUAUAAUCAAGGAACAUAAUUUCAAAACAAAAUCGUUGCAUUCACAUUCCCAGCAUCCUGCUGAAGGGAAAUGGUAGAGAAAGCACCUUAUAUUCUGGCCAGGGAAGAGAGCUCGGUGAAGAAGCAUGGGAAGAACAGCUUCAUGCUUCACACCCAGAUGCAGACCCAGAAGCCCCUGCUGGCUCCCUGCUGACUUGGACCUAGGCCUUUCCAAGGAGGGGCCACUUGGAUCGAGUCCUUUGCCAAGUCUGAGGUUCAGGUGCAGUGGUAAGGGGUGAGAACACAUCUCCCUGAAGCCCCUCCAGCCCCCCACAUCUCCAGACCGUCCUGAAGAACACCGUAAGCAAAGGCCGGAUGCUGUGUUGAGCUACAGUGAGUUUUGUCCAGGAUUCCUGUUUUCUAGGGGGUGGUGACUGCCUUCCAGGGGCUUAGAGAGGAAAGGCUAAAGACUCCUGUCAUGCUGAGAAUUCCAGACUUGCGACUGCCUGCAGUGGGAGCCACCACAGACCCUGGAUGACAGAGAUAAUCUCAUCAUUGAACUCCAGGCUGAGGACCAAAUAAGGAGCAGACCUCUAGACUUGCGAUUUCUGCCGGGCCUCUUGGUGUUACAGCAGCCCACCCCGUCUCUCUGAUGACAGACAAGUCUUUGCCAGCUGUCUGGGUCAUCCAACAUGCACCGUGUCUUCAAUACAUAAAUGCCUACAGAUGCCAAGGAAAGUCUCUCCUGAAUCAAGAGCGACCGGUUCUCUGCACAGGGUGGAGCCUAUGUUCCAUGUGUCUGAGAACAAGAUGAACCUACCCUGACCUUCCCCAUGGGCCUCAACAAGUGGGAAGAAACCAUGAUGAACAGAAGAAUCUUCACUCUGGGGGCAGAACAUUGCUUCACCGCUAAGCUGGUUUACCCUCUGGGCUCUGGGAUGACCUGAAUGUAUUACAGUAUCAGGGGUUCACCUGACAGACCCCAUCUUCCUACCUCACCACCAACACCGACCAACAAGACCUCAGGAACAGAGACUGUGUUAAAUGAGAGAAGUGACUGGAUGAGGACGUAAAUCAUUCCCACUUUUCUAGAUGGGAAAAACUAAACUGUGGGGCAGUGGACCAUGAGACGAAGCCUGGUCCUCGGUUGAACCCAACAAUGGCUGCCAAUGUGCUCGAGAGGUAGCCAGGCAACCUAUGAGAUUAGACUUCUCAGCAGUUCAAAGCUAAAGACUUACAAGUUCCCGGAGAGCUUCUUGCAUCAUGCCAAUAUUGAAAGGCUGGAGAAGCAGGAGUCUGAUGCUGGAAGGUAAAGGCAGUUUCAAGAAACACCUUCACUCAGAUGGAGUCUUGCUGCCUUCCUCUGAUUUCAUCUGUUGGAAGAUUCUAUCUAAACCACACUGGGUCUCUCCCAGCUUGGUCAUUGUUCAGUCAUCAAUCUUUUCUGGAAUAUCUCUGUAGAUACAUAGUUACAUUUCACCAUCCCUGGACUGUUUUCAUCAAAUCAAGUUGACAGCCAAGACCUAUGAUUACAGACUGGGACCUAACAAACCUGAAUUCUUUCUCUCUAUGAGUGUUUGGAUGGUGUGGGAAAAGAAAGGAAAAACUCUGUUUCAUUAAAAAUAGAUAUAGAAUGACAGCUAAUCUUGAGUAUCAAUUUUAUCAGAUUAAGAAAUGACAAGGAGAUUAUAAAGUGCACCUUUGGGGUGUGUCCGUGAUGCUGUUUUCAGAGACAGGUCAUGAGGGUGCCAAGACGUGGCAGGAUUAAUCUCUUGAUGUAGUCAUAAUAUGAUGGCACUAUUGGAAAGUGUCAAAAGUCAGGAGAUGGGGUGUAACUGGAUGAAGUGGGUCAUUGGUGCGUUUGCUACGGCUGUAUCUCACCUGUGCAUCUUCUGUAUUCACCCUUGCACUGGCUCCUGGCUUCUAUGAUGAAAACCGUUCUCUCUGUCAUGCCCUCCCUGCUGUGACAAUACCUGUAAAACUACGAACCCAAAUAAAGAAUUCCUCCUUUAAGCCAUUUUCAGGUAAUUUUGGUGACAGCGUCACAAAGCUAAGGAAGAAGAGAACUAAUCGAAGAGCCAUUAAGCUUUCCAGCUCUGGGAGCAAGCAGUGAAGAAAUGUCAGGAUUUCAGAGGGUCCUUCAAGCAUGCACUGAGAAUAAUUAGCCAGCUUGUUGAUGAUUUUAUAGUCUAAGGUUCUUCACUGUAUAAGCUUCCUUGCACAGUUAGUUAGUCAACUACAAAAUCCGUACUUGGAAGGCAUGCAGAAGUGCAGAAGCCAAUGGAAACCUGUCUGCCAAUACUGGAGUAUAUUAAAUUGAUCUUCACCAA